rnacentral:rRNA from 1 species
UACGAAGGGGGCUAGCGUUGCUCGGAAUCACUGGGCGUAAAGCGCACGUAGGCGGAUUGUUAAGUCAGGGGUGAAAUCCUGGAGCUCAACUCCAGAACUGCCUUUGAUACUGUCGAUCUUGAGUCCGGGAGAGGUGAGUGGAACUGCGAGUGUAGAGGUGAAAUUCGUAGAUAUUCGCAAGAACACCAGUGGCGAAGGCGGCUCACUGGCCCGGUACUGACGCUGAGGUGCGAAAGCGUGGGGAGCAAACAGG